CAGAGUUCUGGAAAUAAACUCUGUAUCAAUGUGAGGGGAGAGGAAGAAAAAGGAAAGCAGAGACAUUGAGAUCGGUUGCAAAUAUAAGAUCACAGGAAAAGGAUGGGGGCAUAAUGUGAAACCCAAGCAUACGCUAAGGUAGUUAUAAAUAGAAGAAGAAGCCUGAAAAUUAUGAAAAAUCAGCAGGCAUGAGGAUUCCCACCUCCUUAACAGCUUCCCGUGAGGCAGCUGCUUCUAGGUGAUGUCACUUUUUGAGAAUCCAAGGGCAAAGAAGCAGCUAAGCGAGCUGGAGCCUUCUCUCUGGCACAAUCAGCAUCACACCUCUCAGUGACUUGUGGGAAUUCAAAAAGAGAUUAUCCUCUCACUCAGCGUCCUGACGCCUCAUUGCUGUGAAGUGCUCUUCCACUGCUCCCAUAGCACCAAUGAGGCUAUGGUGUAAAGCCUGUUGACAUUCUCAUUCCCCAGUAAGACAAGAACUCUCUGAGGCAGGGGCCAUGCUGUAUUCAUCACUGCAUCCUCAGCCCAUGUCCAUUGCUCAACACAUAUUAAGUGUUCAAUAAAGGUUUGUUGUAGAAAUGGCUGAGUGAGUGAAUGAAAAAUACGAUUCUGCUUUUUUCAGUAAAAUAAUUCCCACCAAAAUGGAAAUAAAUAAAUAAAUAAAUUUUAAACAUUAAAAAUUUUAAAAAAGGAAAGAAUCAUCAUUAGGAGUAUCAUUUACUAUAAUAGAAGUUAUGGUAGAAAGUUCCUUCUAGUCAAGUAUAAAGUUCUAGAGCUAUUUUCUUAAUAUAUACUAAUAUUUUUAAUAUUAUGUCUUCUUAUCUACUUUUUAAAAUAGAUAUAUUCCAGAUCUAUAAUCUUAACAUAUUAUUAUUCAUUGUAUCAAGUCCGUAGCAACAAUAUACCUCAGUGGGGUUUCACUAGCACAUUAUUGUUGUGAGCUGAAUAGAAGUCUUCCACCUUCCCAGCCCACAUGACUUAGUGUAUAAGAGCAACCAGAAUAGCUCUAGCUUCCCUAAGAGACUCCUAAGAGAAUGGAUAAGAGGAAGUCGAGUCUAUUUUUUCCUCAAGAAACCAAGCACACUUUCCCCAGAAACUGGAAAGCACAGGUUAUUUAGGUUUUUGAUGGAAUUUAUUGAUUUGUUAGUGUUAUGUUUCAGUGUCUCUUGAAACUUUAAACCAUUUGUAUUCUAUACACUGCCUUACAUUCUUUCAGAAAUAGAUGGGACAUAAAUUUAAAAUAAAUAAAGGUACAGUUUAAUCUAUAUAAACUACAGCGUUGUCAACACUUAAUCACAUAAUAUGUUGGUGUAUUUGUUUCAUGGUUAUGAGAUUCAGUUGAUCAAUUUUUUUCUUACAGGAUGAAUCCAUUGCUUUACUUUGUUUAUAUGAUAUUUAUACUUUCUUACCCUAAGUAGAGAAUGUGACUGACUGCUUCAUUUAAGCAGCCCUGAUCUUAAAGCAAUGCAUAAUAGAGAAAAGAUAUGAAAAAAUAUGCCACUUCUUUUAAGUUCCUGGGGGAAUAUACAGCCCUUUCAAAUACAUCUAAGAAUAAUUUGUCUACAAUGUUAUAAUUCAGCCUAUAAUUUAUUUUCAGACCUUUGUUAUCAUUUUCUUUAUUAUAUUUGCUCUUCUGCCAAAAAUAAAGCUUACAUAUAUCUGACAAUAUGUAUUUUUAAUAAAGUUAUGGAAGAGCUUUCAGCUUUGAAGCACAUAGGAUUUGAUAAAGGUCUUCCAGUCUUAUUUUAAGAAUAAUAGUGAAGAUUCUAUGAUUCAGACUGAACAAACAUUUAUUGAAAAGCUACAUGUUCCAAGUGCUUUCUCGUGAUAUCUCAUGUGAUCUUUAUAACAAUGUGGUGAGGAAGGUAUUAUUAGCAUCUCUGUUUUACAGAUGGGCAACUGAGACUCAUGGGAACUAAGUUGCUUACUGUUACACAACAGAAUGGAAAAUACCUAUGAAGCAGCCUGACACAUGGUAGGCAUUCAGUAAAUACUUGCCAAGCCGGAAAAUACACUGCAUUUUGAGACAAAUACUGUUUCUUUUCAUCAUUCUCAAAUCCCACCACACUAAAUGAGUAAACAUGAGGCUUAGCAAGCAUUCUGACUCAUUUAUGUAUGUAAUUUUGUAAGUAAUCUGUUAUUUUAUCUGAACAGGAUAUUAAACUGUCUGCCAUUUAAAAAAAAACUCUUUAAGCAUGUUUGAGGCCAAUCUUCUCAAAUUAUAUUGUAUUUUUAGCCCAACAUAUCUCUUUCCUUUAGUGUUUUAUUGAGGUAUCUAAGAGAAAUUGUUUCAGCCAGAGUAGUUUGAGAUUCUUUUAGUCAAUCUAGAAAACCAUCUCCUAUGUUUAAUCAAUGCUUACCUGUCCUAACAGUGAAGUUUGGGAUUUGCAAAUGGCAAAUUGCUUUAAGGUCAGUCUUCAUGUUUUACUAAUUUAUCCCCCCAAGCUCCUAACACGGUGCCUAGUAUAUCAUAGAUAUUCAAUAAAUAUCAGAUAAAUGAAAUAAUGGAUGAACAGUUUCCAUAUUGAAUGUCACAUACAUAUUGAACAAGUAAUUCCUCCCUGAAAUGUUUCUUUGGGUUGGAUUCAAUAAGGCUAGUUAGGACAAUGUUCAAACUCUACUACUUGCUUACUGUGGGAAUUUGAUGUAUUCGUAUAACAGCUGUAAGCCUCAGUUUUCUCCUUUUUAAAAUGGUAACAAUGAAUUCUAUUCACUGUAGUGACAAAUGUUUCGUAAAUGUCUGGGAAUGCUGUGGGGGAAAACAGA